AGGAAGAAGAGGGGGGAGAGGAAGGAGGAGAGAGGAAAAAAAAAACCCUCACGUUCAACCCAGAAGAUGCUCACGUUUGGCUCUCCUCAAUUAUCCCCUCCCGUGAAGAUAGGUGGCGUGCGUUUCAGGGGGCUUCUCCUCUGUGUUCCAUGGCAAAGAAAAGGAGGUGGAAAGAAAAAAAAUGUCAUUAGAAGAGGCGUAACACGUCAGUCCCUACCCAGGUUUGUUUCCUGGAGUGGGUGUAAGACAUCAGUUGUAAACCUGCCCUAGCAGGAAUAGCGGUCCCUCCCUCCUCCCAACUAUUUCUAAGGCUUUAUUUCUAAGGCUUUAUUAUCACCGGUGGAAAAGGAUCCGCUCACCGACGCGCUCCGGUAUCAUCCCUCCUCACAACUCCACAUCUUUACUCUCCUACAACCAGAUAUCAAGGCUGAAAUCAAGGAAUCGAGUCCAUGCGAGCUGCCAUCUGAUCCCACACUCACUUAUCAAUGAAGCAAGAGAUCAUGGCGGAUGGCCCCAGGUGUAAGAGGCGAAAACAAGCCAACCCGAGACGGAAAAACGCAGGUAAGCACUUGAGCUCUUGACACAUGCCACAUUACAUAAAACUGAACCUGUGACACCUUCAUACAUGUACCAAUCUUCAUUUGGCACAACAGACGCGCCGAUGAUGGCGGUGCACAUUCAAAGCUGGUCAUCUUGCCUUUGCCUGAGCACCUACAGUAUGAAUUCCUAAGCUGUAAUGAAGAGGGUGGUGGGGGGGGGGGAGAAUGGCUUUAUGAACAACACGUUCUCAUAAAUAUUCAAAGAGUGGAACACGAGCUGUAAAAA